rnacentral:snRNA from 1 species
AUGCUCACUACGGCAGCACAUAUACUAAAAUUAGAAUGAUACAGAGCAGGUUAGUAUGGGCCUUGCACAAGGAUGACCCGCAAAUUCAAGUGUUCCAUAUUAUUUUU